UACAGAGGUCUCAAGCGUUGUUCGGAUUCAUUGGGCGUAAAGGGUGCGUAGGUGGCGCGCUAAGUCAGGUGUGAAAUUUCGGAGCUCAACUCCGAAACUGCAUUUGAUACUGGCGUGCUUGAGGACUGGAGAGGAGACUGGAAUUUACGGUGUAGCAGCGAAAUGCGUAGAGAUCGUAAGGAAGACCAGUGGCGAAGGCGGGUCUCUGGACAGUUCCUGACACUGAGGCACGAAGGCCAGGGGAGCAAACGGG
rnacentral:rRNA from 1 species